GCUGGGGUAGCUCAGUGGUUAGUAGCAACUCGUUUACACCGAGUAGGUCGGGGGUUCGAAUCCCUCCCUCAGCACCA
rnacentral:tRNA from 1 species